rnacentral:lncRNA from 1 species
GUCAUUCUGCUCUGGGUUCAGACGUGCACUGCAGCAGCACCGGGACUUGACAGCCCUACGGCUCGAUCAGCUUUCUGUUUUCAUUGCCUUACGAUGCCAUGAGUGGAACUAUUGUCAAAUCAGAGUUCACUCCCCAGCUUUUCAGUCUUUCCCCUAAUUCUUGCUCUAUCAGAGGUCGAGGACAACAGUAUAAUGAUUCAUAGGUUCUACUUCCUGGCAAGUAAUCAUUUUCCCACGGGCCCUUGUGAAUUGAUGAAUAUGAAGACACUAAGAAAGCAGAAAUAGAACUGAGAAGAAUGAAAUAACUGUCUCUACCUUUCUCGAAUUGUCUAAUAUGGAAAGAAUGAAAGACAGCUAAUAAGCAACUCUCUGCAAGAAGACAUAUGGCUUAGGUUCUGCUGAGCUAUUGGUGAUUUGAUUCCAUGCAUAUGUAUUCACUACUGGUAUAAGUAUAUACAAUAUAUGUGUUUCUGCAAAGAAUCGUAGACUUGAUGCAUUUUUUAAUAUUUCUUAAGGACUUACUACUGAGUGUCAGUAUGAGAGGAUCGUUUACUUCCUUUUCCCAUUAAUUUUGAUAGCCUGGAUUGAGCAACUUUCUUACCUAGUUUUGUUUUAUGAGGUGCAUUAGCUUUUUCUUUGUGUGUAUGUUUGUGUGUGUGUAGCUUUAUUAACCAUAUUGUUUGGGCUUUUGAUAAAGCAGAGAUUCUGAUAUGGUAUACAUUUUGAACUAAGCAUUCAUUUAUUCAGCAGGGAUGUAUGUUUAAGACACUGUGUUAGCCAAGGGUGAGAAGGCGUGUGGAAUGGUAGAGGAGCAAGGUGAGGUAAGAUGAUUAAAAGACACCAGCUGAGAGUGUUAUUUUAUAUGGCAGAAGGAUGUUUGCAGAUGCAAUUAAGUUAAGGACCUUGAGAUGGGGUAUGUUAUCCUGGUAGGCCCAAUGUAUACAUCAGGGUCCUUAUGAAAGGGAGGCAGGAGAACAGAAUGAGUAGUGAGAAGAGUGAAUGGACAAUACUGAGGACAUGCUUAGGGACCCAAAGAAGCUUGCUAUGGUAGGGCUUGGUGGACUCUGUACUGAUGAGAAAGGCUAGGCCAUGCUAUGGAAGCAAAUAAAUCUGUUGUAAAGUGACAGAGUUUCUCUCUUGCUCAUGCAAAGUCUGCUAAAUGGCUGAGUGAUUCUCAAGGGCAUCCCUCACUCAUGUGAUGGCUCUGCUGUGUGUGCAUCCCUGCUAGCCAGGCAGGUCAGGAGAAUGUUAGAAAUGAAACACUUCCUUCUGGUGGCCAAAAGAAGUCACAUGGCUACAUCUGUUAAUAAUUCGAAGGUUGUAGACAGUAUAAUAUUCCCUUGUCCUAAAAGAGGGAAGCUAGAAAUAUUGGUAAGCAGCACAUAUAUCUUCCCCAUGAUCCCAACUUUGUUGGGUAGAGAAGCAUUUUAAAUAACUUUGGAAUUUACAUAUAUUCCUCAAAUAUCUAGUGGUAACUCCAUGUCUAAAUCCAGGGUACCCACUUUCUUCCCUAAACAUGUUUGAAAGUCCUGCAUUCUCUCAGUAUUGUUACAGAGCCACAUUUCAGUUGAAUUGGUAGUGCUGAGAAAAGCGUUAUUUAUUUUAUUUUUAUUUUAGUUUUUUUUAGAGACUGGGUUUUGCUGUGUUGCCCCGGCUGAUCUUGCACUCCUGGUCUCAAGUGCUCCUCCUAUCUCAGCCAUCCGAAUAGCUGGUAUUACAUGUGCACACCAUAAUGAGAAAAGCAUUAUGAUUAACCUAGUAAAUUGAUUUUUAAUACUGCAUUAUUUGAUUUUCAAGGACUUAAAAAACCACUUCCAGAGAGCUAGACACAAUGAAUACAAGCAAGCUAAUAAUGAAAGUGAGAAACCACAUGCUGCUGAAUUGAGUAUGUAGCAACAUUUGUAAAGAAAUGGCAAAUCAUAUCUAAUUAUUUCAUUGUGCUUACCUUUCUUCAGUCAGAAAGCCUUCGGCAUCUAGUGCAUUUCUACAGAUAUUCCGUGGUGAUUUAAUAUCAAUUAAUAUCAACCUGCAGCAAAGUGUUGACAGUGUUUCUAAAUUCACAAGCCCAACAUUUUGCAGUAUUGGGCAUAAGUGAAGGAGCUUUCCAGGUUGCUGCUAAAAGCAACUCAAAAAGAUGCGAAGUAGAUGUGAAACCUUCAUAUUUGGUACUUCUAUAGCAGAUUGUCUUCUCUCCUAGAAGAGAGGCCAGGAGACAGACUAACCCAUUUCUCUAAUCCAUAUGUUGUUCGCUGAGGCUCCCAAAGCUCUGGGAAGUAAUUUACUUGCAGUUCUCUAGAGAUGGAGGCAGGGAGCUUGAGUGUGAGUCCAGUGGAGACUGUCUUUGGAAUUUCAUCUGAUCACAGGGUCACUGUCCAUUUCUCUUCUCAGCAGGCCUAGGAAAACACCAGGACUAACCCCCUGGAGGGAGCCUAGCUUCAGGAUUAAUUAGGGCUUGAUUAAUUAAUUAAGGUAUGAAUCGAGGGCUUAAACAGUAGUUAACUAAGAAAUAUGUAUUUGUUUUACAAAAGUUAAAAUUUAUGGAACAGUAUAUUAAGAAUUGCUUUUAUUUUAUAAUAUAAUGUGUUAAUGUUAAGUUCUUUCCAUACAUUCUUUCGUUUAAAGCACACACAAAAAUGCAGAUGUGGCCAGGUGCAGUGGCUCACGUCUGUAAUCCUAGCACUUUGGGAGGCUGAGGAAGGCGGAUCACCUGAGGUCAGGAGUUCGAGACCAGCCUGGCCAACAUGGUGAAACCCCAUCUCCAUUAAAAAUACAAAAAUUAGCCGGGCAUGGUGGCAUGCACCUGUAAUCCCAGCUACUUGGGAGGCUGAGGCAGGAGAAUCACUUGAACCUAGGAGGGGGAGGUUGCAGUGAGCCAAGAUCGCACCACUGCACUCCAGCCUGGGCGACAGAGCGAGAAUCCAUCUAAAGAAAAAAAUGCAGAUGAAGGGCCUGCCUUGAUUGUCCUGUGAACAGUUUGUGUGCAGUGGGGAGGCUGAAGGUCUGGCCUCCUUUGCUUCUGGUGUCUUCACCGCCACCACUUCUGCCCCUGUGUCUCUAUAUAGUGUAAGGGAUUGGUAUUAAUUAUUUCCCAUUUUACAGAUGAGGAAACUGAAAUCCAGAGAAAUGGAGUGAGUUGGCCAAGUGCACACAGCUCAUUUCUUACCUAGUAUUUACUGUUCACACACUGUAUAGACCCUUUAAUAAGCUAAUCUAAAAGAUUAAUCUAAAAGAUUAGAUACAUUACCUCGUUUCAGUGCCACUAUAGCCUGGCAUUGUACAUAUCACUAUCUUCCUGUCGAAUAGGAAGGUUCUUAAAUUCUGAGACAUUUGGUAACAUGCCUGAGUUAUGUGUAAAAGCUUAGAUUUGAAUUUGAGCCUCCUGACUUGAAUCUUGCGUUUGACCAUACCACAUCUGCACCUAGCUGUUGGAGGAAUCAGAACGCCCAAGACCCAGAUAACUCUAAAUAAGGCCCAGUCUGAGUCGUGCUUCAUGGUUAGGUUCAUAAGUUCAGUGCUGAAAAGGCUGAUUUUUCCUGUUUUUCUAGGGUCUGUUUGCUGGAUUUAAGAUACGCUCUCUCCAGAAAUAUGACAAAACAAUUGUUUUGUUUGCUCAUUUUUUGUUUUGUUUUGUUUUUCGUUCUUACAAGGUAACUAGUAUCCCUAGCACACCAGAAAUAAUUGGCACUGAUGUUCCUGACAAGAGGAGUCUGCUAAAAGUGACCUUUAAAUGCCUUUUGGUGGAGUGAUUAUUUAAUUUAGGCAGUUUCUUUUCUCAGAAAGGAAUUAACAGUUUCUACGGGCUUUGCUAGCUGAGACCUUUAGUUUUAAUCACCUCCUUGAAAACAUUCUCCUUAAUCUAUUCUGAGUAAGAUGGUGGGUUUCUUUGUACUUUGGCCUUUAACUUUUUUUUUUUUUUGAGACAAGCUCUAUCACCCAGGCUGGAGUAUAAUGUCACGAUCAUAGCUCACUAUAAACUUAAACUCCAGGGUUCAGCCGUGGAACACAGGUGAUCUUCUUGACUCAGCCUUUUGAGUAGCUGGGACUACAGGCCCACCACACUGUCUAAUUUUUUAUUUAUUUAUUUUUGUAGAGAUGGGAUCUUGCUAUGUGGCCCAGGCUGGCCUCAAACUCCUGGCCUCAAGAUAUUUCCCCCUGCCUUGGCCUCUCAAAGUGAAUCUACUUGGAGAGAGUCAAACACAGAAUCCCUUUGAAUUUAAUGGCCAUUCCAGGUGAUUUGAACAGCCAAAUAAGAAACAGGUCCUCUUCAAUGUACAAUCUGCCAAGUAUGAAGUCUGAAUGACCAUCAUUAUUAUGUAUUUAAUGUGCAUAGAAAAUCUAUCUGCAACCUUCCAGAGUGUACCAGAAGUUUGGAAUGUACAUUAUUAUUGGCUCCAUCUCAAACCACUCAUAAAUCAAAGAAAAUAGCAGUUCCAGAGGAAUCAUCAUAGAGGCUUCUAGGCCCCCAUGCUGUGUGAACCUGGUGAGAAAGGGAAGUCUGCUCUCACUGGACACUGGAACUGUUUGUCUCUGUCUCUGCUGUACUUUCCCUGCCUCUACCUCACUUAGUAAAGAAAUCAUCUUUGCUUGAUAACUAAAACAACCAAUAAGGCUGAGAAAGGGGAAAACCCACAUCUGGAUUUAAAUACAAGGUAUUGGGCCAGCUGCUGGGGAUUAAACUUUGAACAAAACAGAUAGAAUCUAUGUCCUCAUGGGAGUGGCUAAUGGGAGAGUCGGAACAAAAAAAUAGCCAAGGAUAAUCCAGCAAAUGAUUUGGUGAAUGCUAUCAAAGAGAGAAAUACACAUGCUCUGGGAACACCAAGUAGGUACCUAAUACCUAACCUGUACCUGGGGGGCUGGAAAGGGCUUCUUGGAAGAGGCAGAGACUAAAAUGAAGAAUAAGCAUAAGUUAAGACAAAGCUGGGGUGGGGUCAGAAAGAGUGUGAUAGGCCAACGCAGCAACAUGAGCCAAGACUCAAAAAUAAGAGACAGUGUGGCACAUUUGAUGUAGGAAAGACAUUUAGCUGGGAUAGAAAGAAGGCUAGUGUUGGGGCUGAAUGAGGUUGCAUAAAAGUUUGUAAGCCAAGUUAAGGAAUUGAUCAAAUUUAUAUUUUAGAAUGAUCACUCUGACCUCAGCAUUACAUGACCUGAAGGGGUUAAGCCCAUACAUCUGUAGAGAGACCCGUUAGAAUAGGACUGCAGUAAUAUGGUGAGAGACACUGGUGCCUAACUAGGCUGGUGAUCAUAGAGAUAAAGGGAUAUAUGGGAGAGGUAGAGCCGACAGCCAUUGAUAACUGGUGGUCGGCCAGGUCAAGGGGACAGUGUCUGCUUUAGGUAAUUGGCUUGAUGAUAAUCUCAUUUUCAAAGAUCAGGAACACAGGCCUGAGAGUACAUUUGGAGAGGAAGAUGAUUCGGGUUUGCAUCAUGUAGGGUUCGAGGUGUCUAUGGGACACUAUAUGCAGAAGUCCAGUAGGCAAUUGGUUCUGUGGGCCUAGCACUCAGAGGAGAGUGCGAGUCUAAUGACAGAAAAUUGGCAGUCACCAUCGUGUAGAUGGUAAUGGAUGGUAUGAUUUGGGGUGAUUGCUGAGGCAGGAACAUGGGCACAAUGCUGAGGAGUGCAAAUGGCUAAGGGAUGGGACACAGCAGGAACCUGCAAAGGAGCCCAGAAAACAAGAAAUAGGGAGAAAGCCUGGGAACACUGUGAUUCUACGGAAUCACAGAAUUGAAGACAAACAAUGUGAAACUAAGUACAGGCCCAUUUACUAACAUAUGUGUGUGUAUAUAUAUAUAUAUAUAUAUAUAUAUACACACACACACAUAUAUAUACUUAUAUAUAUAUACACACACAUAUAUAUACUUAUAUAUAUAUACACUUAUAUAUAUAUACUUAUAUAUACUUAUAUAUAUAUACACUUAUAUAUAUAUACUUAUAUAUACUUAUAUAUAUAUACACUUAUAUAUAUAUACUUAUAUAUACUUAUAUAUAUAUAUAUAAAAUUUAUUUAUUUAUUUUUAUUUUAUUUUAUUUAUUUAUUUUUGAGACAGAGUCUCCCUCUCUGACCCAGGCUGGAGUGCCGUGGUAUGAUCUCGGCUCACUGCAACUUCUGCCUCCCAGCUUCAAGCAAUUCUCCUGUCUUAGCUUCCCAAGUAGCUGGGAUUACAGGCGUGCACCACCACACCAGGCUAAUUUUGUAUUUUUAGUAGAGACGGGGUUUUGCCAUGUUGGCCAGGCUGGUCUCGAACCCCUGACCUCAGGUGAUCUGCCCACCUCAACCUCCCAAAGUGCUGGGAUUACAGGUGUGAGCCACUGCAUCUGGCCUCAUAUAUUUUACUAUAACAAAUCAGUGUAGGCCAAAUAAAGUUAGAAAUGGAAGCUAAUGGAAAUAAAGAAUAGGCUUUCCUGUUAGUAUCUAUAGGUGUGUGUGUGUGUGUUCGUUAUUUAGGGAAAGAAACAGGGAACUUGGGGCAUAUAAUAUUUAUGUUCCCUUAGCUUAGGCAUAUAUGGUAUAUUUAGUUACUUAAUUAAUUUUUUAUUUAGAAGUUAUGUAUAGAGCAUUUUUCCUAGGCCAGUGGGGGAUUAAACCAGAAAUAUAAGAAGUGUCUGCCUUCUGGAAGCUUGUGAUCUAGUUAGGGGUAUCACAAGUGCACAGCGUUCACCAGUGGCAGAGAAGCAUGUGAUGAGUACCCAGAGCUUAUAUUGAGAAUAAGGUAUACAAGAAUUUAGAGGAGGCCAAUGUUGAUUUUCACCAAGAGUAUGGGACAGAGAGACAAGACAGGGUUGGUCAUCUAGUUCUGUGCACUGAAUAUAAUUUUGCAGGUUUAGGAGUGUUUGAAAACUACAAGGAAGAUAGAAUCUUGGUCUUGUUCUCCAGCAUGCCCUUUCUUGAACUCACCAGGGUAAUGCUGCAUCUUUUCAGAAAUGCCUCUGGCUUCUCAAAGCAACUUUCAUCCUGGAGAGGAACAAUUAGUCUUUGUCUUUCAUUAGUAAAAGAUUUAACGGCUCAGAAGGAGAAGCUAGUGGUGACUUUUCAAUCACCCCUUCUACCUCCCAG